GGAUCUGAUGAUUUUAGAAGCAAGUGGCUGUCUCCCGAUUCCCUGAGAUCCUGCUUAGACAAUCAGACAACAAAUCUCCUGUACAAAGAAAAGAGAAUCAGAUUUUUUGAUAUUUUCCCAUAGAACAAGAAUACUAUGAUGUUUGAUGCAAAAUGAAAAGGCACAGGAGGAAUUGCCUGGUCACUCUGUGGGAUUGAUGUCAACCUAAUUCACUUAUAGUUACCUGGAUCAUCUUGCCUGCUCUUUUUGAAUAUUGGCCUACCAUUAACACUCUUCCAGUCUUCUGGUAUUUCCCUACUGUAUUAACAAUAAUCAGUGGAACAGAGAUCUCCUCAGCGAACUCUUUUCGGACUCUGUGGUGCAAGUUAUCCAGCAGACUGAUACAGAGGAGACACAGCCCCUGCCCUCUCUUGUGGAGACUUUACUUUUGUUGUUCCUGCUUGAUUUCACUCUUCUAAAAUAUAAAAGCAAAGUUUGUCUCGGCUCCAACCCUUGCCCCUAUAUGAUGCUUCGGCAGCAGAAGGAGGCUGUAAAAGAACGACAAGGGGCUGGCAAAGAAUUCGCCCAAAGCAUGAGCAGCAGACGGCUGCCAUAAUAGGUGUCUGCUGUCCCUGUUGCAAGCACUGGAGUUGGGGUGGUGCUGGAGAUGCGGCUGGAGGCUGUCAGGUCUAAGGCGGCAAUGCCUGUAGUACUGAGCACUGCAGAGAAGCGAGGCUGCUCCAGGCUGUGGAGUUACUCACAGGCAUCCUGAGUAAAGCAGAUGUAAGGAAGAGCAGCCACUGGGGUGAUUCUAAUAUAUGGUGGGACCACUCCUGCCCCCACAUGGCCUAGAAUGUGGGCUGUGCCAUAAGCAUUGAACCUCCGAGAGCAUUAAACAACAGCUCAGAUG